UACGAAGGGGGCUAGCGUUACUCGGAUUGACUGGGCGUAAAGGGCGCGUAGGCGGUUUGUACAGUCAGACGUGAAAUUCCUGGGCUCAACCUGGGGGCUGCGUUUGAUACGUGCGGACUUGAGUUCGGAAGAGGGUCGUGGAAUUCCCAGUGUAGAGGUGAAAUUCGUAGAUAUUGGGAAGAACACCGGUGGCGAAGGCGGCGACCUGGUCCGAUACUGACGCUGAUGAGCGAAAGCCAGGGAGCAAACAGG
rnacentral:rRNA from 1 species